rnacentral:rRNA from 1 species
AUGAGCACCGAGUUGUUCAGACGCAUUGCAGAGAAACUAGCGAGUCAUGACCGAUUUUUUCAACAAAGGAGGAAUGCCGCCGGAGAGCUCGGGCAUAGCACCUUUCAGAAGGUGACAGCCGCUUUGCGUAUGUUGGCAUACGGUAUCCCGGCUGAUCUAGUUGAUGAUUUGGCUAUGGGUGAGAGCCAAGCCAUCAUGUGUGUCAAGCGCUUUGCAGUCGGAAUUGUGCAAGUGUUGGGCCAGGAGUAUUUGAGAUCUCCCAAUGCUGAAGACGCCACAAGGCUAUUGGAGAUGAACAAAGAUCGCGGCUUCCCUGGUAUGCUUGGUGAAAGAACAUGCGGUGCCCCAAUGUUUGGUUUUGGUAAUUGA